rnacentral:lncRNA from 1 species
AUAAAAGUUUUGGUCAUAAUAUGAUUAAAUAUUUAUUAAAAUAAGAUGUGGUAUGACAAUGUAUGAUGAAUGAUGAAUGAGAAAACUAUCCAACAGAAUUCAAUUUAGUGGAUGUAAGCAUUGUAAUUACUUAUUAGAGGCCAUUGAUGACCUGUAAGUAAUGAGAAAACCCAUACCCUAUACAUGUGAUAGUAAUCUAUAAAAGACAACACUAACAAAAUUUGAAACAAAGCAUCAAUUCAAACUUCAAAUAUACCAG